ensembl:lncRNA
UGGUUGUCCAUCUGUGCCUGCCACCAGGGCUCUGCAGGAAGCAUUGCUGAUCACAGAAUCACGGAAUCAUAGGGGUUGGAAGGGACCUCUAGAAAUCAUCAAGUCCAACCCCCUGCUAAAACAGGCUCGCUACAGUAGGUUGCACAGGACCCUGUUGGAUAUCUAAGGAGAGUAAACGGACACAGCUUGCAAGCUGCUGGGAGUCUGGAGUUUGUCUGCCUUGAGUGCUUGUGAAUACAGCGGAGUUUUGUUUGAAAGGAACCUCACUUGCAAACAAAUUUCCAGUGUUAUAUCUGAAAUGAAAUGCUCAGGAAGACGAAUGAACAGCCCCUGCAAUAAGUAGAUACAGAGACUUCUCCAAGAGAUUCUCCUUGCCUCAACCUCCAGUUAUUAGUGGCCACCCUGUCUUUGUGAAGUGCUGCUUUGCCUUUUGUGUGGUCAGUUCCAGCAUAUCCUUACUGCCCAAGUGUUUGGACCGGUGCUGUGCUGCUCAUCCACCUUCUGGCUGGCCCUCAUGGAGUGCCCUUACUCUCUAGAUGCCAUCGAUACAUUUCACCUUCAUCAAUAAAGA